AUUUUUCUUUAUUUUAUU
rnacentral:sRNA from 1 species